AGCUGAAGAACCGACAGCUUAUUCAUCCAGUGCUGCAACAGGUGAUGGCGGAGGGAGACCUGAAAAGGCAGACAGACGCAUCAGUCAGCAGAAAGAGAAAGCAGAGAGACAGGUGUUAAUGAUAAUGACAGCCCAGUUGGGAUGAAACUCAAU